GGUUAAGCGACUAAGGCGUACC
rnacentral:rRNA from 1 species